UGAGGAACAUGACCUUCGGCGGGGGAUAGCCGGCCCAACGGCCGGGUAAUACCGCGUACGACCACAUGGGGACAUCCCUGAGUGGUGAAAGCAGCAAUGCGCCGAUGGAGUGCCUCGCGGCCUAUCAGCUAGUUGGUGAGGUAACGGCUCACCAAGGCGACGACGGGUANCUGGUCUGAGAGGACGACCAGCCACACUGGGACUGAGACACGGCCCAGACCUCCGUAGGGAGG
rnacentral:rRNA from 1 species